CUACGGGAGGCACCAGUGAGGAAUAUUGCACAAUGGGGGGAACCCUGAUGCAGCAACACCGCGUGGAGGAUGACGCAUUUCGGUGUGUAAACUCCUUUUAUAUGUCAAGAAAAUGACGGUAGCAUAUGAAUAAGCACCGGCUAACUCCGUGCCAGCAGCCGCGGUAAUACGGAGGGUGCAAGCGUUACUCGGAAUCACUGGGCGUAAAGGACGCGUAGGCGGGCUGGUAAGUCAGGUGUGAAAUCCUACAGCUUAACUGUAGAACUGCACUUGAAACUACGAGCCUAGAGUAUGGGAGGGGCAGAUGGAAUUAGUGGUGUAGGGGUAAAAUCCGUAGAUAUCACUAGGAAUACCUAAAGCGAAGGCGAUCUGCUGGAACAUAACUGACGCUAAGGCGUGAAAGCGUGGGGAGCAAACAGGAUUAGAUACCCUUGUAGUC
rnacentral:rRNA from 1 species